UACGGAGGGUGCAAGCGUUAUCCGGAUUUACUGGGUUUAAAGGGUGCGUAGGUGGGUCUGUAAGUCAGUGGUGAAAUCUUCGAGCUUAACUCGGAAACUGCCAUUGAUACUAUAGGUCUUGAAUUAUCUGGAGGUGAGCGGAAUAUGUCAUGUAGCGGUGAAAUGCUUAGAUAUGACAUAGAACACCAAUUGCGAAGGCAGCUCACUACGGAUAUAUUGACACUGAGGCACGAAAGCGUGGGGAUCAAACAGG
rnacentral:rRNA from 1 species